CAAAAUUACCAAGUUCUCAUUAAUUAAAUUUCAUAACAAAAAUAUUAACAUAUUCUGCUUGCUGCGCAGAUUCUGAAAAAAGAGUUAGUCAGUCGCUUCAGGAAGAAGCGAAAGCCAAUAAGGUUGAAGUAAAGUUACAAUGAUACAUAUACACUGAGAUGAAGAAGGGGAAGUUUUCCUAAGCUAUAUAACUAAUAAGACCCAUCUCAAAUUGCGUAGAGCUUCUUAUACUCGUUCUCCAAAAUUUCUGAUUCUGCCAUGAUUGACAUCGAUCCUGAUAGAGACCUACUGAUCGAUGACCUCCUAAUGCUACGCAAUUUGGAAGACUCAAUUCUCUGAAUGAUUACCCAGUAACACAUUGUUCCAAUAGUUGUUACCAUGAUUACUGUCCCUAUACCUGUUGUCCAAAGUGCCAACCAUCUUUCCUUGUCUCCCACAACAACAUAUGCCAGUGCAAGAAAUGCAACUGAAAUCAGCACACAAGCCAACCACAUUAGCUUGUUAAUCACUGACAUCAUUUGUUUCUUUGCCUUUCUCUCUAUAACCACAACAGAAGUUUGAACAACCACAACAGCCAAUG
rnacentral:misc_RNA from 1 species